UACGGAGGGUGCAAGCGUUAUCCGGAUUCACUGGGUUUAAAGGGUGCGUAGGUGGGUUGAUAAGUCAGUGGUGAAAUCCCCGAGCUUAACUUGGGAACUGCCAUUGAUACUAUUGAUCUUGAGUACCGUGGAGGUCAGCGGAAUAUGUCAUGUAGCGGUGAAAUGCUUAGAUAUGACAUAGAACACCAAUUGCGAAGGCAGCUGGCUACGCGAAUAUUGACACUGAUGCACGAAAGCGUGGGGAUCAAACGGG
rnacentral:rRNA from 1 species